rnacentral:lncRNA from 1 species
GAAUAGUUAAGAGGCUUAGCCGAGUUUGUUAGUCUACAGAAGGACAUUUACAGAACCACAGGCUUCAUUUACACAUAUAUAUAAGCAGAAGACAAAAAUCAGAAAAUUUAAUCAGAUAGUGCUGCCUCUUGCUGCAAGCUUUUCAAAUCACAACAAAACAAGGAAACAAAACCCCUUAGAUACAUAGAAAAAGCUAGUAAUGCCACUAAACCAUAAAUGCCUAAACAAUUAAGUUCUUUCUUCACAAGACACUCCAACAUAAUAACAGAAAUGCCAGGUGAUCUUUGAUGUCUUGCUGUGGCACCCGAACCAGCCAAAGACUAGAAGAUCGCAGCCUGUUAGACCUGUAUCUUAACAAACUCUCUGGCACUAGCUGCCAACAAUAAAGGAGAUGAAAAAUGUCGCAUGGUAGGACAACCACGAUCUCAGCAGCCUUUGACAGCAAUUCACCACGACCGAGGAGAAAGAGCCUGUCUAAAAUCAGUACAGGCACAACCUUUGAAGACAACUAUACCUGGGAAAGUAUAAAGAGCCACAAUAACUCCGUAUAUGGGGAAAGCUUAAACCCCAAGUGUAGCUGGACAAAAGGAUAUUCUAACACUAGGCUAAGAAAAGCAUUGGCAUCCACACUGUUCAGUCUUAAUUUGGAGGGACGAUUCAAGGAAGGCCCAGGAAAUGACAGCAAGAGCCUUAUGUCUUCCCUGUAUGUGUGUCCACACAUUCAUAUUCAUAAACAGACAACAGGGCUGAGAAAAUUCCUAAUUCAACACAGAGAACUGCCGCCAAGUAUUCCACUCAGUUAUUGGCAACUGGAUUAAAUUUCCGGGGAAAAGGAAAUGUAAGGAAGACAAUGCUCCAGAAACUGGAAACAAACAAACCAAAUUUACACUAGGAAAAGCAGCAGAAGAAAAAAUCCUACGAAAGCGCCAAUAAAUGUUGGACUCAUUAAGGUCAAAAAGAUAUCACUAUGUCAUCAUUGAACCCAGUCCACAAUGAUCAAAGCAGGGGUCUGACUGCAUGUGAGAUUAGCAGAUAAUUAUUUCUAUUUAAUGACUUUGGAGUACAGCUGAUUUGGAAAGAAAAGCCAGAAAAAUUUACUGUAUUUGCCUGUGAUCUAGAAAUGAAGGCAUUUGGUUACUAACGCAUUUCCUACCAAGGAAAACAUGUGCAAGCAAGAAAACAUGCUCGAGGAGUGAAAGCAACAUGGAGAACUACUAAAAGGCUUGCUCUGCUCAAUAGGGA